UAGACUUUAGACUUGACAUCGUGGUGUGUGCAGUAAAGCCCAGCCAGGCAGUUGGAGAUGGAGAAGAACAUCAAAAAACGUAAAGGAGGGGCUGAAAAGCUCAGAGAAAAGAGAUAAAAGCUCUCGAAGCAAACACAGGGGCCACCUGUUGAUGAAGAGGCUGAGCCAACAAGCGAGGAGGAGGAUGUAGAUCGAUGUGAAGAAAGCGAGACUGGAGUGGAGGACAGUCUCUUCUGCUCUGUGGACCAGGAGCUUCCAGGGAAAGAGGCCUGGCGACAUUUCUGUGUCUCCUGUGAAGCAACAACAAGCAGACAAUCAGCGUCGCUCUGCUUCUCCUCCUCAGUCUGACUGAAGGCAGCAGCUGCCAAGUAGAAGCUGCAGUUACCUGAACUCAGUUUAUAUGAAGAAACCAGCUGCAGUUAAACUGGAAGACAGGCCACAGUGAUGCAGGACGAGAGACGAUCUGACCUCCAGCAUCCAGCAGCAAACAGGACGAUUUAUUGAGUUUUAUCUUAUUUUACAGAUUUUUUUCCUGUUUUAACUGACAGAUAAUAACUAGUCAAAUCACAAAAUAACAAUAAUUUACAUUUUAACCUUGAAUGUAAAAUGACACCAUUUUUACUAUAUUAAAAUCUACAAAAAAUCAUUAUUUUUCAAAGAAAAAA